rnacentral:pre_miRNA from 8 species
GACAGAAGUUCUAAUAUCUCAUUCCCUCAGUGUUGAAACAAUCUCUGUUGAACCAUGUUACAGGAAGUUCACUGGAGUUUGUUUCAACAUUGGAGGAAUGAUAAGAUGCUACUGUUGUCUA